rnacentral:rRNA from 1 species
UCCUGGCUUAGAACGAACGCUGGCGGCGUGCUUAACACUUGCAAGUCGAACGCGAAAGGGACUUCGGUCCUGAGUAAAGUGGCGCACGGGUGAGUAACGCGUAGAUAACCUGUCUUCAUGUCUGGAAUAAUACGCCAAAGGGGUACUAAUACCGGAUAUUCUUGCUUUUCAUAAGUUAUGCAAGCAAAGGUGGCCUCUGCAUAUGCUACUGCAUGAAGAGGGGUCUGCGUACCAUUAGCUAGUAGGUGGGGUAAUGGCCUACCUAGGCGACGAUGGUUAGCGGGUCUGAGAGGAUGAUCCGCCACACUGGCACUGGAACACGGGCCAGACUCCUACGGGAGGCAGCAGUGAGGAAUAUUGCGCAAUGGGGGAAACCCUGACGCAGCGACGCCGCGUGAAGUGAGGAAGGCCUUCGGGUCGUAAAGCUCUGUCAAGAGGAAAGAAGUGUACAAUGGCUAAUACCUGUUGUAUUUGACGGUACCUCUAAAGGAAGUACCGGCUAACUCCGUGCCAGCCGCCGC